ACGGCUCAGUAACACGUGGAUAACCUGCCCUUGGGUCCGGCAUAACCCCGGGAAACUGGGGAUAAUUCCGGAUAACGCACAUAUGCUGGAAUGCUUUAUGCGUAAAAUGGAUUCGUCUGCCCAAGGAUGGGUCUGCGGCCUAUCAGGUAGUAGUGGGUGUAAUGUACCUACUAGCCGACGACGGGUACGGGUUGUGAGAGCAAGAGCCCGGAGAUGGAUUCUGAGACAUGAAUCCAGGCCCUACGGGGCGCAGCAGGCGCGAAAACUUUACAAUGCGGGAAACCGUGAUAAGGGGACACCGAGUGCCAGCAUCAUAUGCUGGCUGUCCAGGUGUGUAAAAUACACCUGUUAGCAAGGGCCGGGCAAGACCGGUGCCAGCCGCCGCGGUAACACCGGCGGCCCGAGUGGUGAUCGUGAUUAUUGGGUCUAAAGGGUCCGUAGCCGGUUUGGUCAGUCCUCCGGGAAAUCUGAUAGCUUAACUAUUAGGCUUUCGGGGGAUACUGCCAGACUUGGAACCGGGAGAGGUAAGAGGUACUACAGGGGUAGGAGUGAAAUCUUGUAAUCCCUGUGGGGCCACCUGUGGCGAAGGCGUCUUACCAGAACGGGUUCGACGGCGAGGGACGAAAGCUGGGGGCACGAACCGGAUUAGAUACCCGGGUAGUCCCAGCCGUAAACGAUGCUCGCUAGGUGUCAGACAUGGCGCGACCGUGUCUGGUGCCGCAGGGAAGCCGUGAAGCGAGCCACCUGGGAAGUACGGCCGCAAGGCUGAAACUUAAAGGAAUUGGCGGGGGAGCAC
rnacentral:rRNA from 1 species